rnacentral:rRNA from 1 species
UACGUAGGGGGCUAGCGUUGUCCGGAAUCAUUGGGCGUAAAGAGCGUGUAGGCGGCCCGGUAAGUCCGCUGUGAAAGUCGGGGGCUCAACCCUCGAAUGCCGGUGGAUACUGUCGGGCUAGAGUGCGGAAGAGGCGAGUGGAAUUCCUGGUGUAGCGGUGAAAUGCGCAGAUAUCAGGAGGAACACCGAUGGCGAAGGCAGAUCUCUGGGCCGUAACUGACGCUGAGGAGCGAAAGCGUGGGGAGCGAACAGG